GCCUACGGCCAUACGCCCUGAAAGCGCCCGAUCUCGUCUGAUCUCGGAAGCUAAGCAGGGACGGGCCUGGUUAGUACUUGGAUGGGAGACCGCCUGGGAAUACCAGGUGUUGUAGGCG
rnacentral:rRNA from 1 species